UUUGUCGUAGUAUUGAGUCUUUGCGUGUUGUUGCUCACCUGUUGCCAUGACAACAAAUACUAACACAACUCCGUAUAUUGAUAGCACUACUUGGGAGAUGGUUAUUAACAAUCAGUUGACAGGAUUGGGUUUUUUUAUAGCCAGAUGAAUGUGCCUAGGAUUUUGUUUGCACUUAUUCAGCCAAUUUAUUCUUCACUAAGAGUUUUUAAAAUCAGUGAAAUCUCUUUGGGUUAGGCCUAUUCUUAUAUUUUUGUUUUUUGUAGUUUGAGAUGUUUGGGUUUUCUAAGCAAUAUUUCAACAAUAUUUUGUUCUUAAAAUAAGCUUCUUUUAACCUUUUCUUGCUAUAAUUUUUACUUUUUUUUUAUCUUUGCCAAGAACUUCGGAAACUUAAACUAGCAUCAACAGGUAUUUUCAAACUGACAGCCAAAAUUGUUUAGUUGUCUCCAUGUUUUUUAUUCAUGUUUGGUUUUUAGCCUCUAAACAAUGCUAAGAACAUAUUGAUUGUACCCAUUUUGUACUGGAAACAAACUGUUCUUCGGACUUGUAAACAAAACUAAACAAUUCUUUUUUUUGUCAGAACUGUUUGUGUUUACUUUUUGGCCGUCCUGAUGGAAAUGAAAUAUUCUUACAUCUUUUUUCAAUCAGCGUAUUAACUGUAAGUAGUUAUGUAACAAAACAUACUACUCAACAAUUGCUAAGCACCAAAAUGUCACCUUCAAAGGUGUGGUCCUUAACAAAUAUUGAGUACUAUAGUGUGGUCACAGCCAAUCAAUUAUCUGAUCUUCACAGUAAUCACAAAACAUUUUUUACUUUAAUAAAAUAACAUGUUCAUGGUCAGAAGAAUUCCCUACCACAAAAUAAUUUGGACAAAGGAUAAGAAGUUUUGAAAGGAACAAAUAAUUUGUUUGCUGUGAACCUGUGGGUAUCUUGAUAUGAAACAUCUUAUUCAGAUCUUCUCAGUCCAAGCCAUCACAGCCCAACGGCCACUAUAGGUCUUGGUGCUAAGAUGACAAAGAGCACACACAGGCACUUGUAGCUUGUCUAAGACUUAACCAGAGACGUACUGCAUCGUGUUGACAUAAUGUUUUGUCAUUUUCUGCUACAAGUGCCUGUUAUCAGCCUUGACGAUACAGUGUAUAAGUUCUCCAUGAUAUACAUAACCUGGGCCCAUUCACAAACUUACCUUUGUUUUGUAAGUAACAUCACAAGCUUCAUCUUUUUUAGCACUAUUUUUUUAUGAAUUGGUAUAGAAUUCUUUGGUUAUAAGUUUGAAAUCUACCACCAGUAGAGUUCAGCAUAGGUCUAGAUUCAAGUAAGGGACAAUGCCCAUUUGAGCCUUCUGUUCAUGAAGUCAAACCAGGAGACUGAAGGAGAUGUUCUCUGGAUUGCUGUGAAUGGCUGCCAGAUGGCUGAUACGGCAAUAAGAGUUAUAUCUCCAUCAGUUUUAUCUGAUGAUUUCCUGGGAACUAAGAUUGGUAGAGAAGUCUUGGGGCUGCAAGAUGUCUUGAUUUGACAGAAAAGUUGAUAUGCUUGUCACAGUCAUGAAAGAACAGUGGAAUUUGGUUUAGCAUCAGGAUUGUAUCAUUGUAUGGAUGAAGAAGAGAAAGUUUGUGCUAAAGUAUAAGAUAGGAAAUAUGGAGAUUGUGAUGUCCCUUCCAAGCAAAGUAUUGUGGCAAAUUGGUGCACAUGUCAUGACCAUGGAGGUAUGAUACACUGAACAGUCGGGGAGGACUGGGAGACAUGACACCCACUGACACUCCUGCAUGACUCAAGGGGACAAGGAUUUAUUCCAGCUCUUAGUAGAAACUAAACUAUUAAAUAUUAAUUUUGUAAAAUUAAGGGGUCAUAGAUAUUUUGGGAAUAUUUUAAAGAAAAGACUAAGUACACAGUUUCAUAAAUAAAUCCCAAAAUGUCAUGAUCCUUUACUUUUUCUGCUGAGCAUAUAACAACCAGCUCAAGAGACAGUAUCGCUAACAAGUCCAGUCUCUUACAAUUUUUUUUUUCUGAAAAAAGCUUUGAUAGUUGUCAUUAACCCAUAAGUAUUCAUUAUAUAAUUUGCUUGAUGGUACUAAUAAUUCUGUUCAUUAUUAAUGACAAUAGCUGAAACAUGAAAUAAGUUUUAGCGGUGUUAGUUUUGAUGUGUGUUUGACAUGAACUUGCCAGAGGUGAGUGGAACAUCCUGGAAUAUCUCCCCUUUCCUACUACAGCAAUAUUCCCAUGUUUUAGUAGCACUCAGAUUGACAUUGCUCUCUCCUACCCAGUUUAGUUUUGCUAGCCUGGUACCUCUGCCACAGAACAGCAAUAUAUGAGGAUAUAUAUGAUGCACACCAUUUAAAAUAUGUACUUUCAUGAUUGAUGCGUCUGCAUAUAUAGAUGGCAUAUGUCAUGAAGUUUCACUGAGAAAAUGUCUAAAAAUUUGAACUAGUGUUUUCAUUUUUAUGUUUAUUCUUUACGUACAUCAAAGAUAACAUUACAGUCACUUUGAUAGGUAAAAAUAUAUUGUUAGCAUCGUCACCAUUAAAGGUAUAUUAGAAGAUUUUAUUCAAAUCAAUAUCUGAAGUGCACCAAAAGGCUUUCAAUAGGCCAGUCACUUUGAUUUCGGAAGAAGCAUGUUUGUUUACAAGCAAGAGGAAAGUGUAGUCAAAUACUAUUCAAAUUAGCGUGAGGCAGUGGUGUUAUGUUGGCCAUCACUGGGUGGGAAGGAGUGAAGGGGGUGUAGCUAUACCCAUAGCUGCACGUCUGUGGUAACCAUGGUUACGGAUUUGCCUGCAAUAGCAAGAUGAGGUGUGAAAUAGGUUGAAGAGUGUGUUGUGCAGUCUCUUUUGCAUGAAACUUAUCAUCGAUGGUUUGAAAUUAGUUUCUAACGCUGUCAGCGCCAUGUUCUUGGUCUCCCUGGAUGGUGACUGCCGGAGACCAGCUUCAUCGCGGACUUAGCUGACCCUCCAUGAUGUGACUGAAACACUGUCCAAAGGGGUGUGGCACCAAAGUCACUCACUAGCUCAAUGUUUUUGCAGUGAGGCCUGAAACAUGGUCUAUUCUGAUGAAUGUGUUUACUACAAGGAUCAAGGGUCUUGAUUUUAUAUUAUGAAAGUAGUCACUGACUUGCUACACAGACAAAUACAUAGCAAGAGUACAGUCCCAUAUAGUGUACAGUCCCAUAUAGUGUACAGUCCCAUAUAGUGUACAGUCCCAUAUAGCGUGCACCCCCAUAUAAGUCAUACAUAGUGUAAAGAAUCAAUGUGAAGCAGUGAAUUCUUGUAGACAAACACAAGAUUAGGAUGUAUCGGUGAAUCAUUGUCAUUAUUCACCGUGGUUGGUAAUGUCAACCCUAUCAUUAAGGAUCAUGUUUUAUUUGAACUUGAGAUGUUUUUGGACCUUGCUAGUCUGGGCUGUACCAGUGGUCAUGUUUGUCUUGGAUGAAAUCCAUGAUGAUGAUGAUGGAACUGACCUCUAGUUGAGCACUUCCUCCUAUGAUUGCUGUUGGAUCAUAGUUUAAUGUGUGAUAAUCUUGGCAAUAAUUAUUGUAGCUUCAGGUUUUUCCUGCACAGGAUUAAAUUCCAUUUUAUCUUAAAAGAUAAACAAAUUUUGUUUUCAAGAAAUGACUUUCACAUCCAACAAAAUGUUACAUGGCAUUCAUGCUGCUGGACUGAAUACAAGGAACUUUGUUUUGGUCUCUUCUUUCAGAUCAAGUCAUUUAAUAGAUGGGUAUGCCUUCUCACAGGAAGAGCAUGGAGUCGUACCACAGGCUGACUACAUCCGGGCGUACGACACCACGAAAGAG